GUUUUGGUCUUCCCACCAUGAAGCUGUACCAGAUUCACAGUACCAUUGCUAGCGCUUCGCUAAAACGCUUAAAAUUUUCUCCUGCGUAGGAUACAUUCAU